UCCAGACUCCUACGGGAGGCAGCAGUGGGGAAUAUUGGACAAUGGGGGGAACCCUGAUCCAGCGACGCCGCGUGAGUGAAGAAGUAUUUCGGUAUGUAAAGCUCUCUCAGCAGGGAAGAAAAUGACGGUACCUGACUAAGAAGCCCCGGCUAACUACGUGCCAGCAGCCGCGGUAAUACGUAGGGGGCAAGCGUUAUCCGGAUUUACUGGGUGUAAAGGGAGCGUAGACGGCGAUGCAAGUCUGAAGUGAAAGGCGGGGGCCCAACCCCCGGACUGCUUUGGAAACUGUAUGGCUGGAGUGCAGGAGAGGUAAGUGGAAUUCCUAGUGUAGCGGUGAAAUGCGUAGAUAUUAGGAGGAACACCAGUGGCGAAGGCGGCUUACUGGACUGUAACUGACGUUGAGGCUCGAAAGCGUGGGGAGCAAACAGGAUUAGAUACCCGUGUACU
rnacentral:rRNA from 1 species